UUUCAGUUUUAAAUAUAGCCGUACUCACCAUCUCUCCCCGCCUGGUACUUUUAAACUGAAAUCUUUAAAGAAGGAGCUGUGUGAUAAAAUUAUGCCGGUCAAUGAAUUAUGUAUGUAAGGACCUACUGUUCUAGUGUGUGAUCUCCGUUCAGACUUUAACUUAUGGAAUGCAAGUUUUUCUUUGACCUUAAUACAUUGGCUGCCCGACAACAAGAAGCACAUUUCAUCAGAAUUUGGAAACUGAAUACUGUUCAAUUUUUGGUUGCCCGGCAACCAGAGGAACCCCGUCUGGGGCAGAAUAGCAUAGGGGUUAGUUAACCCUAAGGGUUAACCCUAACCCGCAUAGUCUGUUGAACUCCUGAGCAACUUAGCUCACCACUAUGCCACUUUAUAACAGUCGACGUGUGUAUAACAAUGUCUGUUAUCAUUUCACAACUGUUUAUUUAGGUCUCAGCUCUCUUUACUUGUGUUUCUCUUAUACUUUUUAUUUUUAUAUUGCACCGUUGAAGGAGCCUGAGACUCAAAAAUUGUAUUGCCAGCAACUGCUUCUGUAAUUGUAAUAUAGCAAUAAAGCACCUCUACCCUUGAACCUUGAACCUUGAUAAUGGUAGAGAGAAUGGUAGAGGCUGCAGCAUAACGAUCAACUUUAUUGUCUUCUUUGGGUUGAAACACGUUGGUUCUUGGGCACAUUGCGAGACCGGUCAGGCAUCAUGACCAGUGUUAACUCUCCAGCCUGUCUACUAGCCAGAAAUCACUUCAAGCGAAGUCCUUGGACAGUGCUGGAGUCGAGCGGACAGACGGACGCCUCCGGCAGACAGAGACACAGACAGAUGACACUGUGGGUCACAGUGACAAUACCCCCAGGAUUCCCGGGGGGAUUCGGCACCCGAGGACUGUGGGUCAGCUUGGUCCUGGGUUCUUCCUCCCUCCCUCGCACCUCCCUCACCAAGCCUUCGGACAGUCCAGCCAACCCGAAGGGGAAAUAGGAAGAACGAAACAAACCCCAUCGGCCGUCAAACCGGAGGACCGUUUCUCCUUCUGAAUGGGCACCGCAAAUGGACAAACACUUAAAAAGAGUCCUAGUGGGUGGUUGCUACAAAAGCCCUAGCAAUGGAAAACCACAACAUAAUUCCUAGCAACAGAUUACUGCUACAUAAUUCCAAGCAGUGGGUUACUGCUACAUAAGUCCUAGCAGUGGUAUACUGCUACAUAAGUCCUCCUAGCAGUGGGUUACUGCUACAUAAGUCCUAGCAGUGGGUUACUGCUACAUAAGUCCUAGCAGUGGGUUACUGCUACAUAAGACCUAGCAGUGGUAUACUGCUACAUAAGUCCUCCUAGCAGUGGGUUACUGCUACAUAAGACCUAGCAGUGGUAUACUGCUACAUAAGUCCUAGCAGUGGGUUACUGCUACAUAAGUCCUAGCAGUGGGUUACUGCUACAUAAGUCCUAGCAGUGGGUUACUGCUACAUAAGUCCUAGCAGUGGGUUACUGCAACAUAAGUCCUAGCAGUGGGUUACUGCUACAUAUGUCCUCCUAGCAGUGGUAUACUGCUACAUAAGUCCUCCCAGCAGUGGGUUACUGCUACAUAAGUCCUAGCAGUGGGUUACUGCUACAUAAGUCCUCCUAGCAGUGGUAUACUGCUACAUAAGUCCUCCUAGCUGUGAGUUAUUGCUGCAUAAGUCCUCCUAGCAGUGGGUUACUGCUACAUACGUCCUAGUCCUAGCAAUGGGUUAAUUCUACAUCAAUUCCUACUCCUAGCAGUGAGUUACUUCUACGUAAUUCCUACUUCUAGCAGUGGGCUUCUGCUACAGAAGACCUUUGUCUAGAAGUGGGUUGCUACUUCUUAACUCUUGUGGGUCCUCAGACAUUCUGGAAACAGUAUAGAAAGUUUCCAACACUCAAGGCAGGAAAAUUUAAACUAUGUGAGAGUUGAAUGUAUCCCAGCAGGCCAAGCUUCUGCCAAAGGAGCCUCAUGUUUCGAUCAGACGAGGGGAGGGGAUAAAGCAUGCCGCUGUUCCCAGUUAGAAGGACGGCUGUCUUGAAAAAUAUCUAUACCACUUUCUAAUAACAUGGGCUGUCACAAUUAAAACAGUACGAUUUUAGUUAGUUUGUUAUAUUUAUUGUUUACUAUGUGAAUGGUAUGUAAGUACAAUCUCAAGGAACGUUUGUGAUUCUCUACGAUUUAUCUAGAUACAGGUUAGCCAGUGCUCAAUCUUCUUGAGCUUCACUACCAUGGCCUGUAUAAGAGUUUGCUAAUCAUGAUCCAAAAAAUGAUAUAGGAAGGAGAGAGGUAGGAAUUAAGACAAUUUCUCCUAGAAGGGAAUAUACAGAAAAAGAAGAGGAAAUAGGGCAGGAGGGAUCUGGGAUUGACAGGUGGGUAUUAUAGAUACCAACCUGUAUUGAAAUGUAAUACAUUGGUUCAGAUUUAUUUGAAACAAUGUAAUUUAUGUGAUUUAUUUAACCCUUCACAAUCUGAUAUUUUGAUGCACAACUACAAUAAAUGUAACCUUAAUUUGAUCCCGUAA